GUAUCCUUAGCUCAGUUGAUUAGAACAGAUGGCUUGUAACCGUCCGUUCGUAGAUUCGAAUCCUACAGGGUAUA
rnacentral:tRNA from 1 species